ACCAAGGCAACGAUGGAUAGGGGAACUGACAGGUUUAUCCCCCACACUGGUACUGAGACACGGACCAAACUCCUACGGGAGAAUUUUGUGAGGAAUAUUGGUCAAUGGACGCAAGUCUGAACCAGCCACGUCGCGUGAAGGAAGACGGCCCUACGGGUUGUAAACUUCUUUUGUAAGGGAAUAAAGUGUAGAACGUGAACUAUUUUGCAUGUACCUUACCAAUAAGGAUCGGCUAACUCCGUGCCACCAUCCGCGGUAAUACGGAAGAUCCGAGCGUUAUCCGGAUUUAUUGGGUUUAAAGGGUGCGCAUGCGGGAGAUUAAGUCGGCGGUGAAAUUUUGCAGCUCAACUGUAAAAGUGCCUUCGAAACUGGUUUCCUUGAGUGUGGAUGAGGUAUUCGUAAUUUGUGGUGUAGCGGUGAAAUGCAUAGAUAUCACGAGGAACUCCAAUUGCGCCCGCUGCUUACUAAACCAUACUUGACGCUCAGGCACGAAGGCGUGACGAUCAAACAUGAUUAUGAUACCCUGGUAGUCCACGCAUGUCACGAUGAUCUAUUAGCUGUUUGCUAUACAAUGUAAGCGGCUGAGCGAAAUGCGUUAAACAUCCUGCUGAGUGAGUACGUCCAGCUAGAAAGUAACUCGAAUGAAUUGAGGACGCGCCCGCACAGUGGAGGAAGCAUGAUGUAUUUAAUUCCAUGAUACACAAGGAACCUUACCCGUGCUUGAACUGCAUCUGACGUGACUUGCAAAGAGGCUUUUCUCUUUAGCGCAAAUGUGGUAGCUGCUUGCAUGGUCGUCAUCACCUCUGCC
rnacentral:rRNA from 1 species